GACGAACGCUGGCGGCGUGCUUAACACAUGCAAAUCGAACGGAAAGGCCCCUUUGGGGGUACUCGAGUGGCGAACGGGUGAGUAACACGUGAGUAACCUGCCCUUGACUUCGGGAUAACUUCAGGAAACUGGGGCUAAUACCGGAUAGGAAUCCUUGCUGCAUGGUGGGGGUUGGAAAGCUUCGGCGGUUUUGGAUGGACUCGCGGCUUAUCAGCUUGUUGGUGGGGUAGUGGCUUACCAAGGCUUUGACGGGUAGCCGGCCUGAGAGGGCGACCGGCCACAUUGGGACUGAGAUACGGCCCAGACUCCUACGGGAGGCAGCAGUGGGGAAUAUUGCACAAUGGGCGGAAGCCUGAUGCAGCAACGCCGCGUGCGGGAUGACGGCCUUCGGGUUGUAAACCGCUUUCAGCAGGGGCGAAGCUUGUGGUGACGGUACCUGCAGAAGAAGCACCGGCUAACUACGUG
rnacentral:rRNA from 1 species